rnacentral:tRNA from 1 species
GCCUGGCUGGCUCUGUCAGAAGAGCAUGUGACUCUUGAUCUUAGGGUUAUGGGUUCAAGCCCCAUUUUGGGUG